rnacentral:lncRNA from 1 species
GUCCAGUUGGAUUAAAAAAAUGUAUUGAUUGAAUCUUUCACAGAAGGAAUGUAUGCCGGUAAUACUUGUGAAAUUAACGUGGGAGGCAGUCGCCAAAGAUCUGGGCAUGCGUUAACAGCAGAGGCCUAGUGUAGCAGAAAAUGCCCCCACCCCAGCCAGUAUACCUCAGUUUGUUAGUUGCCCAGGUAACAGUUCUGGCUACAGUUCUGCUUGCUCCUGUCUCUUAGAAACAGCUGGUCACUAUGAUGCACAGCUGGUCACUGUGAUGCACAUUGUAGGAACCAAUUCCCAAUUGACAAGCAAUUCUGCCUCUGUACUUCCUGCUUGCUUAUCUCCUAUGAGCCCUAGACCACCAGAGAUCAGGGCCUGACAUUUUGAGAAUGAUCCCAGUCAGUACCUGUUGACAUAAGUCUGCUUCCAAAUCCUGGGUAUUGUUUUGGUGUUUCUGUUUGCCAUUGCAUCUGAUGUGUCAGCUGGGAAGGCUAACCAUGCUGACAUCUUUGGUUACCAGUCAUGGCCCUAGCAGACAGAGAAAGGACCUCUCCAGGUCCGAACAGGAAGGCAUGCCUUUGAUAUUUCGUGAGUCCCCUCAGAAGCCUGGAGGAGGAUUUCAGGUUCCCCACUCAAGUGGCUCACAUGGGAUCCCAAAGGGAGGAGGAUGCAAUCUGUCUGUCUGCCUGUCUGCCUCAUUCUGUUUCAGCAAUCCAGCCUUAGAUCCACUGAAGAAUUUACCUAGACAGCUCCUCCAAGGCUGAUUCUGAAGAGACAAAGCACUCAAAGCUCUGCUAUGUUCACUGUGGACACUGACCAGUCUGUGCACAGCUGAAGCCUGAGGACACAGUAAACAGGUUUGCUCCAUACCUGUUCCCCUUGAUUUUUAUGUCUUUUCAGGCUGUUUAGCUCAGUCCUUGCUUCCCUGCC